AAUAUAGUGGAAACAUUAUAGCCGCAAGGCAAAUGUGAAGGUGCUGCAUGGUUGUCGUCAGCUCGUGCCGUGAGGUGUCGGCUUAAGUGCCAUAACGAGCGCAACCCUUAUCUUCAGUUACUAACAGGUCAUGCUGAGGACUCUGGAGAGACUGCCGUCGUAAGAUGUGAGGAAGGUGGGGAUGACGUCAAAUCAGCACGGCCCUUGCGUCCGGGGCUACACACGUGUUACAAUGGGGGGUACAGAAGGCAGCUACCGGGCGACCGGAUGCCAAUCCCAAAAACCUCUCUCAGUUCGGAUCGAAGUCUGCAACCCGACUUCGUGAAGCUGGAUUCGCUAGUAAUCGCGCAUCAGCCAUGGCGCGGUGAAUACGUUCCGGGGCCUUGUACACACCGCCCGUCAAGCCAUGAAAGCCGGGGGUACCUGAAGUACGUAACCGCAAGGAGCGUCCUAGGGUAAAACUGGUAAUUGGGGCUAAGUCGUAACAAGGUAGCCGUACCGGAAGGUGCGGCUGGAUCACCUC
rnacentral:rRNA from 1 species